UACGGAGGGUGCAAGCGUUAUCCGGAUUCACUGGGUUUAAAGGGUGCGUAGGUGGGCAGGUAAGUCGGAUGUGAAAUCUCGGAGCUUAACUCCGAAACUGCAUUCGAUACUGCCGUGCUUGAGGACUGGAGAGGAGACUGGAAUUUACGGUGUAGCGGUGAAAUGCGUAGAUAUCGUAAGGAAGACCAGUGGCGAAGGCGGGUCUCGUGGACAGUUCCUGACGCUGAGGCACGAAGGCCAGGGGAGCAAACGGG
rnacentral:rRNA from 1 species